CCUACGGGUGGCAGCAGUGAGGAAUAUUGGUCAAUGGCCGGGAGUCUGAACCAGCCAAGUAGCGUGAAGGAUGACUGCCCUAUGGGUUGUAAACUUCUUUUAUAAGGGAGUAAAACGAGGCUCGUGUGCUGCUUUGCGUGUACUUUAUGAAUAACGAUCGGCUACCUCCGUGCCAGCAGCCGCGGUAAUUCGGAGGUUCCGGGCGUUAUCCGGAUUUAUUGGGUUUAAGGGGUGCGGAGAGGGGUUGUUAAGUCAGGUGGUAAAGUUUGGGGGUCAACCGUAAAAGUGCUAUUGAGACUGGAUGUCGUGAGUGCAGUUGGGGUAGGCGGAAGUCGUGGUGUAGCGGUGAAAUGCUUAGAUAUCACGAAGAACACCGAUUGCGAAGGCAGCUUACUAGACCGUAACUGACGUUGAUGCUCGAAAGCGUGGGUAUCAAACAGGAUUAGAUACCCUUGUAGUC
rnacentral:rRNA from 1 species